UCCGUCCCUCCGCCCGCGCCGCCGCGUUCCUCCGGCUCUUUUCCUUUAACGCUCCUUCGUUAGUACGUCCUCCGCCGUCCGCGCGUGUUCUCCCGUCACCGGGGAGAGAACAGCUCCGCUGCCACACCGUCCGUCCGUCCGUCCAGCCGUGCCGCGCCACCACGCGCCUCGUCGUGGCCGCUCUCGCGCGCGCGUUCUCUUCCUCUCUCUCUUUCUUCCUCUCUCUCUCCCCGACGUCGUGUAUCAAACCGUGGUCGCGCGCGCGCGCGCCUAACAAGGCGCCAACCAUUCGCCAUUGAAGCAACCGAGUACAAUUUGCGAUGUGUGAUAAUACUAACACGACGACGCAGAGUAUAGCGGACUACCUGUCACAGUUGCUAAAGGACCGGAAGCAGCUGGCCGCCUUCCCAAAUGUCUUCAUACACGUGGAGCGUCUGCUGGACGAGGAAAUCGCGAAGGUGCGGGCGAGCCUUUUUCAAAUCAGCGGAGUGAAAAAGGAGCCACUGGUCCUGCCGGAGCCGGAGGGCGAAAUCACGACGCUCAUGGAAAAGGUCUAUGUACCUGUCAAGGAGCAUCCAGAUUUCAACUUUGUCGGGAGGAUUCUGGGGCCACGGGGUAUGACCGCGAAACAACUCGAGCAGGAGACAGGAUGUAAAAUCAUGGUCCGCGGCAAGGGGUCAAUGAGGGAUAAAAAGAAGGAGGAACAAAAUCGGGGCAAGCCAAAUUGGGAACACCUGACGGACGAAUUGCAUGUGCUGCUCACUGUCGAGGACACCGAGAAUCGUGCCACUUUGAAGCUCGCUCGAGCCGUGGAGGAAGUCAAGAAGCUUCUUGUGCCCCAGGCUGACGGCGAGGAUGAGCUUAAGAAGAGACAGCUGAUGGAACUCGCCAUUAUCAACGGCACUUACCGGGAUUCGAACACGAAAGUUGCCGCCGCGGCAGCUUGCGACGAGGAGUGGCGGCGAGUAGCCGCAGCCGCGGCGGAGACGCAACGUCUGCUGCCUGGCCUGGCGACGCCGAUGCGGACGCCGAGCGCUCCCCUGGGCGCACCGUUGAUCCUCUCGCCGCGAAUAUCCGUGCCGACCACCGCCGCGUCCCUGCUGAACGGAUCCGGUCCGCCCGGCUCGCUCCUGUCGGCCGGCGAUCCGCACGGACUCAUCUACACGCCUUACACGGACUACGCCAACUACGCUGCCCUGGCCGCGUCGCCGUUGCUCGAAUACGCCACUGCGGAUCAUUCUGGCGCAGCGGCAGCCGCCGCCAAGCAGCGUAGACACCUGGGUCAGAUCCGCGAGCACCCUUAUCAAAGGGCCGGCGCUCUCUCGUGAACACACAGAGACAGUGCGGUACACAGAGAGAAAGAGAGAGAGAGAGAAAGCGAGAAAGAGAGAGAAAAAGAGAGAGAAAGAAAACGCACUAUUCUCGCGCCAUCGCGGAAAGGCUUGGAGUGCUAACAAUGGAUAUCCACUCGCCCCGUGCUAACACCUGGACUCUGGAACAGCAUCCCGCGUUCGAUCGGUUCACCAACCAGCCGACCACCUUCGCCGUCCGUCCGCGUCACCAGCCCCGUUCGUCAAGCUUAUCCAUCAUCCUGUAUCCUCUUAAUGUUCAGAAACGUACAUAAUCAUACCGCGACCGACGUCGACGUCGACGUCGACGGCGACGAUGACGAGUGCACACGCGGAUUCAGACGCGGAGUUUGUCUCUCGCAAGGAGAAAACGCACACGGAUAUGGGGAUGAAUAUUAUCGCGAGAUUCGAUUCGAUUAUCAUCUCAUGCUGAAUGAUAAAAUCAUAAAAUGUGAUCGACGAUCAAGGAGCGGAACUCGACGAAUGGCACGGCCAACGUCAAAACGCGAUACGAUGAAUCUCGUUCCCGUUUCGUGAGAAUCCGCGUGCGCGCCUCUCUCGUCGUCGCGGAAACGCGGAGCUAUUCCGGAGUUACUUUGGACGCGAACGUACAACGUUAGUUGCGUUAAAUAGUCGUAGCGCAGAUAGUUUAUCCCCGUUCCCACCCGCCACCCUCCACAGCGGGGGAGAAGAAACGAGGGGCCGGGAGGGAUCGGGAAUAUCGCCGCAGGUAUUUGAACUUUAUUUUUCUCUCUCUUCUCGCGACGACGACGACGACGACGACGAAACGUGUCGCUCGCGCUUUUCCCAGUACUUACGACCGCGCCCUGGCACCUUCGCUCUCAACUACCCGGAGCGCGGGAAUACGACGUUUAAAUGACACGCGACUUAAGCAUCGCGACGACGCAUGCACGUCGGACACGGGGACUCGUCGUGGCGAGCGCGAAGAAUCGCCGCUUCUCGCUUUCCGAGAGGAUCGCAGUGCGUUGCGACGUGCCUCCUCUGCGCGUGUCGUCUCUUUCUCUUUUCUCGCGUCGCGAGACACGUCGCGUCUCGGGGAUACCGCCGAAAUUCUGUGCGACUCUCUCGCAUAAAUGUGCCUUAUGUAACGUUAAGCGGUAGCCAGCGGCCAGACCGCGCCGCGACACCCAUUCGUUCGUUAGAUAAAGUUUCGUUAUAGGCCGUAGCCUACGUAUAACAGAUAGCGUUAGAACUGUGCAAUCAAAAUUUACUUUCUCGAUACUGCAUGCCCACGGAAAGAGAAGGGUAGGAGAGAACGCCGAACUGCAGGCUGCUCCCCUAACGAUCUCUUUCGUUACGUUGCGAGAGCUGCGAGGACUGUUAAGAUAUACGUGUAUCUAGAAUCGCGCGAAUCUAUCCCGAGGAAAAGGCUUUAAAGGUUCAUCCCGUCGGUCGAAUGGCGGCUCUACGAGAGCUUAUAUAUCGUGUAUAUAUCGCCCCAGCCACAAGUAUUAAAAGGAGCGUUGUUCGCGGAAGGUAUUUUAGAGCGUCGAUAUGUGCAAUACGUGUGUGAGCAGGAAAAGAACGAGGCGCUUCGUUCGUGCCUUGCCGAGAGCCUUGUUACAUCGAUUGCGAAGAUCUGCGACUCAAACCGCAGGAUUAUCGAACACGAUACGCAUAUGUUUACACGCGUCUGUCGAUACGUUGAUGCCUCGGCGAGCAGAACGACGCCGACGGUGCAAAGGCAAGCUGUUACCACUUUUCGCGUCGCGGAUAAAGAUAUUUCUGGGAUAUUAUAAUCACACGCAUACACGUAUAUGCGAGCACCGUCACGCGUGCAAGAGCGUCCGUGAGCGUGUGAGUAAUUUACUUGACAUCGUAUCAAUUGUCUCACUCUUUGGUCUGCCAUAUGUUUUUCACCGUUUAUGUAUAUUGUCUGAUAACGAUAUGCAUAGCGCAACGAUCAAAGACGCUUUCGAACGGUCUCUUGCACGGUGACUUGUGUGUGUCGAGCGCGUUAUACUCGUUCUUUCCACAGGUACUUUCGAAUUUUCGUCCAAAUACCGUUUUCUUCUCCGCUAGAUACCGAUAGCUUGGUCCUUCGUGUAUAUAUACAUAUACAAGUGUUAUAUAUAAAAGUAUAUACACAAAUACAGUUUAACGAAUUAAGAGUGAUCUGAAAUCUACUUAAGUUCACACGUAAAUAUUCGAUAUACAUACAUACAUACACGUACACAUAUAUAUUAAUAUAUACAUAUAUGUGUAUAUGUAUAUAUAUUUUAUUAUUGUACGUAAAUAAUUGAUGAUGAGAUCUAACGGAAUCUUUUCAAUAUCGUUGUCUUCUAGUAAAUGCGAUUAUAUAUGUACACACGAGUUGUUUGCGCACUCGCGAGCGCGCAGUCGAUUAUAUACGGGACGAAUAUGUAUACUCUUUAUGUAUAUGCUGUCUAAUAUAUGUAUGCGCGUAAAAACGUAAAUUAUUAUACAUGUAUACAUAAUGUAUUAUACAUACGCACUGACUCAGUUAAACAUGCGGACGGUACGAAUAAAUGUGCUCGCAGUUCACUUUUGCGUCAAACGAGAGUUUGCAAUUGUCCAGAAAUCGGAAAUUAUGUUUACGAGGGGUAGGUUUAUUUCAGUUUGGGGAGACGGGCAUGUGCCCGCGCCAAGAUAAUGCAUCGUUCGUUUCGGAAAGGAACAAAAAAAAAUAUCGCUUGAAAUUAUCAUCGCGCAAAAGUAAGUGCCGACACGAUUUACUUGUAUCCCUGUGUGUGUGUUAUCAUAUUUAUAUAUGUACACAGAUAAGUUGCAUAAAGAAUCAUGUAUGUGCAAGCAAUCUUGUUAGAUUUUACAGCAUGUGAAUUUACAUUUAUUAUUCUAUAUAGUUGUAUGGUUUUUUUGCCGAAAUUUAUUAUACAUAUGAUAAUUUUUUAGUUUCAUAUUUUAUUUUAACGUUGAUACGUGCAGGAUAUACGUGGCAAUAUUAAUGUGUAAGCGAAAAAUGCGCAAAAGCCGACUCUGAUUUCUGAAAUCUCGGAAAGAUCUGAUUACGAAUUCAUAGUAUAACACUGUACGCUACUUAUGGAAAAUUUACGACUUGCAAUGUGAAAGUGCAAAUACAAUAAAAUAGUUUAUACUGAGACAUGUAUAAAUACCAUGAACGGCAAUAAAAAUAUUUUUUCAA
rnacentral:misc_RNA from 1 species